AUUUUCAGUAUGGUUGGUGCACAUGGGUAAAAGGAGGGGUUCUGUCACUGUCUGCAGAUCAGUUUCCAAAUGGAAUUUUGUAACUUCUUUGGCAAAAGGAGACAGCCAUGUGUUGAAACCAGUUCAGGGCAGCUCAGAAAAAGUUGUCAGAGAUCCUGGAAGAUGGCACCUCUGAGCUGUGGGACUGAAGCCAAUGGAAGCCUGGUGUUCCUGUUCCCCUGUGACCCACCUGGGAGUGCUGCAGAUCUAUGGUUUGGGCUGGUUCCUCACAGGAGAGCAAAUCCAGCUCUGUAGCUGCAGCUGGAACUGCCAGGAAAUCCACACAAGGUUCAUUUCACCUUUUGGAAGUUGAUUUUGUCACUGCGAGUGGCAAUGCAAAGUGAAGAUGUCAUUGAUCUGCUGAAUUAUGUGGGUCUUAGAACGUCACCAAAUCUCACCAAAUAAUUUUUAAAUGAGAACAUGCUUAGAUUUAUGGACCAUGUUAGUCCUUUGGCAAUGGAACACAACCAUACUGUUAGAGGGAUGGCAGUUAUCUUUUGUUAAGUGGGCAGCUUUCCUUAUCUCUUCCACAACCAGUCCUCCCUCUGGAGAAACCUCUGUUCAUGGGCCAGUGAGUGUCACUGCCUGGCUGAUAAAAUUCCAUCAUCCCACUGGGAGAUGCUCCACCCAGGGGGAGGAGCCAAGAAUUCCCAACUGGAUCUACUCUGGAUCUUGGGACACCAGAACAGCAUUUCCACUGGAUUCCCAGAGGAGCAGCUGCCUCUUCCACUGGAUCUUCAGAGGAAGACUGCACCCUUUUCUACGGGAGCCAUCCCUGAUGCUCCAGGAGGGCUGCAGCCACAAUUCCAAUGGGACUGCUACCAACACCUUCACCCACAGGGUGUCAGCUUGUAUUCUGACUCUGUUAGUGUUGUUUUGAUUUACUGCAUUGUUUAUUUUGUUUUUUUUAAAUUUUCUUCCCU